GCCUAGCCCUAAACACAGAUAAUAAAAACACAAUACUAUCCGCCAGAGAACUACAAGCGAAAAGCUUAAAACUCCAAGGACUUGGCGGUGCUUCAAACCAACCUAGAGGAGCCUGUCCUAUAAUCGAUACCCCACGUUCUACCUUACCCCCCCUCGCAAACCAGCCUAUAUACCGCCGUCGCCAGCCUACCUUAUGAAAGAAGUAAAGUAGGCAAAACAAUUAAUAACUAACACGUCAGGUCAAGGUGUAGCACACGGGGCGGCAGAGAUGGGCUACAUUUUUCCCCAACCACACGAACGGCACACUGAAACAAUGACCCAAAGGUGGAUUUAGUAGUAAGAUAGACAAGAUACCCUAUCUUAAACCUGCUCUGAAGCGCGC
rnacentral:rRNA from 1 species